rnacentral:ncRNA from 1 species
AAAUUAUAAGAAGGGACCCAACACAGAAAAUUCAUUUUAUUGAAUUUUACAUUUAUGUGCAAGUUGGGCAAAGUGUCUUAUUUUUUAAAAGUAUUUCAAAGUAAAAUUACAUGUUAAUACGUAGUAUUAAUGGCGAGACUCCUGAGGGAGCAGUGCCAGUCGAAGACCAAGGCUGAGACGGCACCCUAAGAAGGGACCCAUCAUCAAAAAUUCUAUUUAUAGAAUUUUACAGUAAUGUGCCAGAUGGGCAUAGCGAAGCCAUUCAAUACGAAGUAUUGUAUAAAUAGAGAACAGCAG